CACGUAGUUAGCCGUGGCUUAUUCAAGAGGUACCGUCUUCUGCUCUUCCCUCUUAAAAGAAGUUUACAACCCGAAAGCCUUCUUCCUUCACGCGGCGUUGCUGGGUCAGGCUUGCGCCCAUUGCCCAAUAUUCCCCACUGCUGCCUCCCGUAGGAGUCUGGGCCGUAUCUCAGUCCCAAUGGUGGCCGGUCAACCUCUCAGUCCGGCUACUGAUCGUCGCCUAGGUGGGCCGUUACCCCGCUACUAGCUAAUCAGACGCGAGGCCAUCUUCCAGCGAUAAUCUUUGGUGUCUCGAUGAUGCCAUACGAACACAUCAUGCGGUAUUAGCAGUCGUUCAACUGUUCGUCCCCUGUGGAACGGCACGGUUCCCUCUACGGCCGUUACUCCACCACGUCCCGCCACUAGCUACUUCCCUUCCGUAUUACGUCCCGUAAAACCUUCCGUUU
rnacentral:rRNA from 1 species